rnacentral:rRNA from 1 species
UGGCGGACGGGUGAGUAACGCGUGGGUAACCUGCCUUGUACUGGGGGACAACAGUUAGAAAUGACUGCUAAUACCGCAUAAGCGCACAGUACCGCAUGAUACAGUGUGAAAAACUCCGGUGGUACAAGAUGGACCCGCGUCUGAUUAGCUAGUUGGUAAGGUAACGGCUUACCAAGGCGACGAUCAGUAGCCGACCUGAGAGGGUGACCGGCCACAUUGGGACUGAGACACGGCCCAA